AUUGAACGCUGGCGGCAGGCUUAACACAUGCAAGUCGAGCGGAGAUGAGGUGCUUGCACCUUCUCUUAGCGGCGGACGGGUGAGUAAUGCUUAGGAAUCUGCCAUUUAGUGGGGGACAACAUUCCGAAAGGAAUGCUAAUACCGCAUACGUCCUACGGGAGAAAGCAGGGGAUCUUCGGACCUUGCGCUAAAUGAUGAGCCGAAGUCGGAUUAGCGAGUUGGUGGGGUAAAGGCCUACCAAGGCGACGAUCCGUAGCUGGUCUGAGAGGAUGAUCCGCCACACUGGAACUGAGACACGGUCCAGACUCCUACGGGAGGCAGCAGUGGGGAAUAUUGGACAAUGGGCGCAAGCCUGAUCCAGCCAUACCGCGUGGGUGAAGAAGGCCUUCGGGUUGUAAAGCCCUUUUGUUGGGAAAGAAAAGCAGCAGGUUAAUACCCCGCUGUUCUGACGGUACCCAAAGAAUAAGCACCGGCUAACUUCGUG
rnacentral:rRNA from 1 species